rnacentral:rRNA from 1 species
CCUACGGGAGGCAGCAGUGAGGAAUAUUGGUCAAUGGGCGCGAGCCUGAACCAGCCAAGUCGCGUGAGGGAAGACGGUCCUAUGGAUUGUAAACCUCUUUUGUCGGGGAGCAAAAGACGCCACGCGUGGCGUUCCGAGAGUACCCGAAGAAAAGGCAUCGGCUAACUCCGUGCCAGCAGCCGCGGUAAUACGGAGGAUGCGAGCGUUAUCCGGAGUUAUUGGGUUUAAAGGGUGCGCAGGCGGAAGAUCAAGUCAGCGGUAAAAUUGAGAGGCUCAACCUCUUCGAGCCGUUGAAACUGGUUGUCUUGAGUGAGUGAGAAGUAUGCGGAAGGCGUGGUGUAGCGGUGAAAUGCAUAGAUAGCACGAAGAACUCCGAUUGCGAAGGCAGCAUACCGGCGCUCAACUGACGCUCAUGCACGAAAGUGUGGGUAUCGAACAGGAUUAGAUACCCGAGUAGUC